GAUGAACGCUGGCGGCGUGCCUAAUACAUGCAAGUCGAGCGAACGGACGAGAAGCUUGCUUCUCUGAUGUUAGCGGCGGACGGGUGAGUAACACGUGGAUAACCUACCUAUAAGACUGGGAUAACUUCGGGAAACCGUAGCUAAUACCGGAUAAUAUUUUGAACCGCAUGGUUCAAAAGUGAAAGACGGUCUUGCUGUCACUUAUAGAUGGAUCCGCGCUGCAUUAGCUAGUUGGUAAGGUAACGGCUUACCAAGGCAACGAUGCAUAGCCGACCUGAGAGGGUGAUCGGACACACUGGAACUGAGACACGGUCCAGACUCCUACGGGAGGCAGCAGUAGGGAAUCUUCCGCAAUGGGCGAAAGCCUGACGGAGCAACGCCGCGUGAGUGAUGAAGGUCUUCGGAUCGUAAAACUCUGUUAUUAGGGAAGAACAUAUGUGUAAGUAACUGGGCACAUCUUGACGGUACCUAAUCAGAAAGCCACGGCUAACUACGUG
rnacentral:rRNA from 1 species